UUUGAUCCUGGCUCAGGAUGAACGCUGGCGGCGUGCUUAACACAUGCAAGUCGAACGGACUCAUAUUGAAACCUAGUGAUUUAUGAGUUAGUGGCGGACGGGUGAGUAACGCGUGGAAAACCUGCCGUAUACUGGGGGAUAACACUUAGAAAUAGGUGCUAAUACCGCAUAAGCGCACAGCUUCGCAUGAAGUGGUGUGAAAAACUCUGGUGGUAUACGAUGGUUCCGCGUCUGAUUAGCUUGUUGGCGGGGUAAUGGCUCACCAAGGCGACGAUCAGUAGCCGGCCUGAGAGGGUGAACGGCCACAUUGGGACUGAGACACGGCCCAAACUCCUACGGGAGGCAGCAGUGGGGAAUAUUGCACAAUGGGGGAAACCCUGAUGCAGCGACGCCGCGUGAGUGAAGAAGUAUUUCGGUAUGUAAAGCUCUAUCAGCAGGGAAGAAAUAGCGACCUUUGGGUCGCCAGACGGUACCUGACUAAGAAGCCCCGGCUAACUACGUG
rnacentral:rRNA from 1 species